rnacentral:tRNA from 1 species
GAGGGUAAAGCUCAGUGGUAGAGCACAUGCUUAGCAUGAACAAGGUCCUGGGUUCAAUCCCCAGUACCUUCA